rnacentral:rRNA from 1 species
UACGAAGGGGGCUAGCGUUGCUCGGAAUCACUGGGCGUAAAGCGCACGUAGGCGGACUCUUAAGUCGGUGGUGAAAUCCUGGAGCUCAACUCCAGAACUGCCUUCGAUACUGAGAGUCUCGAGUCCGGGAGAGGUGAGUGGAACUGCGAGUGUAGAGGUGAAAUUCGUAGAUAUCGAGAGGAACAUCGGUGGCGAAGGCGGCCUUCUGGACAGUGACUGACGCUGAGACGCGAGAGCGUGGGGAGCAAACAGG